rnacentral:tRNA from 1 species
AGUCUUAUAGUUUAAAAAAAACAUUAAUUUUGUAAAUUAAUAAUAAAAAAAUAUUUUAAGACUU